rnacentral:rRNA from 1 species
CCUACGGGAGGCAGCAGUGGGGAAUAUUGGACAAUGGGCGCAAGCCUGAUCCAGCCAUACCGCGUGUGUGAAGAAGGCCUUCGGGUUGUAAAGCACUUUAAGCAGGGAGAAAAAGUUAUAGGUUAAUACCCUAUGACCCUGAUGUUACCUGCAGAAUAAGCACCGGCUAAUUCCGUGCCAGCAGCCGCGGUAAUA